CACUUCUAAGGAAGGCAGCAGGCGCGCAAAUUACCCAAUCCUGACUCAGGGAGGUAGUGACAAGAAAUAACAAUAAACCGGCUUAUGCCGGUUUAAUUGGAAUGAGUACAAUUUAAACAUCUUAACGAGGAACAAUUGGAGGGCAAGUCUGGUGCCAGCAGCCGCGGUAAUUCCAGCUCCAAUAGCGUAUACUAAAGUUGUUGCAGUUAAAAAGCUCGUAGUUGGAUUUCUGUGGGGACGGAGCGGCCAGCCGCAACACGCGGUUCGAGCUAGCGCUUUCCCUACAUCCUGCCGCGAACCGUGCUACCAUUAGUUUGGUGGCGCCGGGGAUCGGCUCGAUUACUUUGAGAAAAAUAGAGUGUUCAAAGCAGGCCACACGCCUUGAAUAAGUUAGCAUGGAAUAAUAACUAAGGACUUCGGUUCUAUUUUGUUGGUGUUCGGGACUGAAGUAAUGAUUGAUAGGGACAGUUGGGGCGGUCUGUAUUCCAAAGCGAGAGGUGAAAUUCUUAGACCUUCGGAAGACAAACAGCUGCGAAAGCGUUCCGCAAGGAUGUUCCCUUUGAUCAAGAACGAAAGUUGGGGGAUCGAAGACGAUCAGAUACCGUCGUAGUCUCAACUAUAGACUAUACCAGCUAGGGAUCGGCCAACGUUAUUUUAUACCGACUUGGUCGGCACCUUAUGAGAAAUCAAAGCAUCUGGGUUCCGGGGGGAGUAUGGUCGCAAGGCUGAAACUUAAAGGAAUUGACGGAAGGGCACCACCAGCCGUGGAGCCUGUGGCUUAAUUUGACUCAACACGGGAAAACUUACCAGGUCCAGACAUAGUAAGGAUUGACAGAUUGAUAGCUCUUUCUUGAUUCUGUGGGUGGUGGUGCAUGGCCGUUCUUAGUUGGUGGAGUGAUUUGUCUGGUUAAUUCCGUUAACGAACGAGACCCCAGCCUGCUAAAUAGUGCGCGUGAGCUUUGCUCGCGGCGAGCUUCUUAGAGGGACUAUGAUGCGCGAUAGCACAUGGAAGUUUGGGGCAAUAACAGGUCUGUGAUGCCCUUAGAUGUUCUGGGCCGCACACGGGCUACACUGGCGCCUGCAACGAGCAUAUCAGCUGGCCCGAGAGGGUCUUGGCUAAUCUUUUGAACCGGCGCCGUGCUUGGGAUUGACCUUUGCAAUUGUUGGUCAUGCAACGAGGAAUGCCUUGUAAACGCGAGUCAUCAGCUCGCAUUGAAUACGUCCCUGCCCUUUGUACACACCGCCCGUCGCUCCUACCGAUGAAUGUUCCGAUGAAAUUUUCGGAGAGCACCUGUGAACUUGGCUCUGCCUUGCGAACGGGAGGCUCAAAGCCACUCAAAUCUGAACAUUUCG
rnacentral:rRNA from 1 species